AGAAUCAACGCUGGCGGCGUGCCUAACACAUGCAAGUCGCACGAGAAAGGGGAGCAAUCCCUGAGUACAGUGGCGCACGGGUGAGUAACACGUGAAUAAUCUACCUCCGAGUGGGGAAUAAACUGAGAGAAAUCUUAGCUAAUACCGCAUAACACUUACGAGUCAAAGCAGCAAUGCGCUUGGAGAGGAGUUCGCGGCCGAUUAGUUAGUUGGCGGGGUAAUGGCCCACCAAGACGAUGAUCGGUAUCCGGCCUGGGAGGGCGCACGGACACACUGGAACUGAAACACGGUCCAGACUCCUACGGGAGGCAGCAGUGGGGGAAUUUUGCGCAAUGGGGGAAACCCUGACGCAGCAACGCCGCGUGGAGGAUGAAGCCCUUGGGGUGUAAACUCCUUUCGAUCGGGAAGAUAAUGACGGUACCGAUAUAAGAAGCCCCGGCUAACUUCGCGCCAGCAGCCGC
rnacentral:rRNA from 1 species